GAAAUGCGAUAAGUAGUGUGAAUUGCAGAAUUCAGUGAAUCAUCGAAUCUUUGAACGCACAUUGCGCCCUUUGGUAUUCCAAAGGGCAUGCCUGUUCGAGCGUCAUUUGUACCCUCAAGCUUUGCUUGGUGUUGGACGUCUUGUCUCUAGCUUUGCUGGAGACUCGCCUUAAAGUAAUUGGCAGCCGGCCUACUGGUUUCGGAGCGCAGCACAAGUCGCACUCUCUAUCAGCAAAGGUCUAGCAUCCAUUAAGCCUUUUUUUCAACUUUUGACCUCGGAUCAGGUAGGGAUACCCGCUGAACUUAAGC
rnacentral:misc_RNA from 1 species